AUUUAAGUAUCAACAGACAAAUAUUUGCUAUUACAUAAUUCAAAUAUAUGAAUAUAACUCAUUUUACAUUGUAAUAAUUGCAUAAGCUUAGAUUAUAAUAUGUAUGUUAUUUAAAAUAAUAGAUACAUUUAUAAGGCAUCAUAUUUCUAAAUUUACUGCAGGUAAUAGGGAAGCAAGGUGACAAUGUUCGUCAAAUAGUGAUAUUAACUUUCGUUACGUGUACUUAAUCUAUACGUUACUAUAUAUAGGUACGAGAUUAUAAGUUUUUACGGCGAGAUUUGCAAAAUUCUACCUUCGAGUAAACGGGGUCCACGCGUAAGAAGUCGCGGGCGGCCGCUAGUUGAUAAUAAAUAUUUGAAUAUCUACUAUGCUAGUUCAUGCGUGCGCCCACGGCUGCUGCGCGGAGCCGGACCUAACUACUAAGGUUUUGUUAGGUAUCCGGGAAAAUUUUCAUACCCACAGUAUAGGCAGCAGCUUUUUAUUACAUUCAAUUUAUCAUACAAAUAAAAUAUGACCUUUUUAAGUAAGUAUAAAUACAAGUAACGAAAAUCGUAUCACGCACAUAUUCAUACGUCUGUAAAAUAGCUCACUCUGUAUUACAUAGAAUUGAUCAAACUUCUUGCCAAUUAUGAAAUAGUUAUCUAAAAUUAUGGCAAUAAUUGUGUUUAAGUAUUUGAACACGAAAAUAUACUCAUAUGAAAAAUAUAACACGACCAAUAAUUGAGUUAAAGCGUGGUAUCAUAAAUAUUGGGAUUUCGAAAACCCCUUACACAUACACAGCAUAAUUUUUCACUAGUUACCUUCUAUUAUUAUUCGUUGGUAAUGGUAUUAACUAUUUUGUUAUAUUUUGAUCUAUUGUAGUAUUGAUAUUGCUUAUUAAACACCAUUAUCAAUGGCUUAAUGAUGGUGCAUCAGGUAGUAUUUUCGUGUAGCUAACACAGGUUUACAAAGGACGUACAUUAGGGGCAGAAUUAAGUAUAGCUGAAAUCAUCAUCUUUCUUUUUCUGUAGGCAGGUCGUAUCCUAUGUGCUACACGAAGAUAAUCUCCCUCUAUUCAAUAAAUCGCCUACUAAGUACUCUUUAUGUAUGAGGUCAGUAAAGAGUUAAAACUAUAUUAUUGCUUGUAAUAUUUAUUAAAAGACACUUUGAUUUUAUUAAUUUGCUAUUGCUCACUAAUAACGUCUGAAAAUAAUACGAAUAAAAUAUUUAGAUUAUUAUAUGUAUAUAUAAAUCAUUUACUGUGGCCAAGAAGCCGUACAUACUAGCGAUUAACAAACAUUUAAAACUAUGACUAUAUCGGAAAACUUGAAUGUAAAUAAAUACAGGUAUACAUUCAACAUGAUGAUAAAUAAGUAUGGUUUAGGUUGGGCAAGCACAUCAUCUGGGCAAGUAAAGUGUGCCGUAGUAAAUAAUAAUUUAGCAAUAUUGAACGCGUGUACUUGCUCCAACCAAAACUCUUAAUUAAGAUUAGGUAUAUGACGGAAUUAUGAUUUGUGCUAAUGAACAUGUUCAGUUACCUCACUGGUUUCCUACUUAGAUGCUUACAAAAUCUACAAUUAAUGUCACCUCCCUGAAGGGAUCCUCAUUUUAAAAAAGUUAGCACUGUUGCUUUGCAAAGGUUUCGGCUUGCGGCGCUUCUUCCUAAAGCCGUUACAGUCUUUUCAGAGAUAUUUGUUCUGAUCAUUAAUGUAAGCAUGACGCUUUGGGUGAGAGGGACGAACAUAAGAAAAUACAGAAACGGCAUUAGGGUAGCAAUUCUGCCAGCUUUUUGGAAUCAACCAUCCCUAUUGAGCCAUAUUCACUCUGUCCAUUCUAUCCUGAGUAGGUACAUCCGAGUCUUUCAAUGAUGGACAGGCUUCCAGUUACCUUUUUUGAGAUUCAUUAUUUAAAUUUCUUUACUACUUAUUUGCUAAAUAUAAUUACUUUAUUCAAAAUAUAGAAAGUCUAGCAAAACUAUGGAAAAGCUGCACAUUACAACACGUAAAUUUGUUAACUAUCUAAAAAUUUUAAGUAGGUACCUACCUAUUAAAAUUACACAUCCAAACGAAAACCAAACAGCUUAUGAUGAAGCGAUUAUCCUAAUGUAAAACUUUGAUACAACAAUAAGUCAUGCAAUAUUAUAAUUAUGUGUAACCGGACAUCUAUUAUUCUGGCGUAUUUUCUACUUUAAUUUCCUUCCAUAUCACAGCCUCGUUGCCUUAUGAAACAUUGCCAAUCCAAUCGGAGUCGAUAUUCAUGUAUUUAUGAUCCUGUGCAGUCUCACUGUGGCCUGAAUGUACUAAGCUUAAGAGAUUCUCAUGUGAUUUCAAUACGAUCAUUUUUUGCCAGGGCAGAUUCGAUUUGUGUAUUAGGUAGUUUUAUUUUCGUUAAGGAAGUGUUUGGGUACAUGAUCAACUGCACGAAAAUCGGCCCAAUAUAGCCGACGACAGGUGACAGUCGGUCUAUGCAGUUGGUAUAGUUGAGUCGUGUGGAAGCAGCGAAACCAUGACACUUGACCAAUCGUAUGGCAGUCUUUUAUUUCCUCCUGCAGUACCAUUAUUAACCAUUCCAUAAAAAUACAUAUUAUCCAUUUAAUUGUACGUUAGGUGUACUUUCAGUAUUUUCAGGCACAUUUAGUUAGGUUUCCGUUUUCAUAAGCCAAUAAUCUAUUAUCAUGUUAUUUGGGAAUUCAAAGAUACCUAAUAUCUAUCUAAACAUCAACAAGACGAGAAAUUCCAAAAACUAUCUAGGUCUACGAACAUCGACAAAGGCAAGAUAAAAUUUGAAGCCUACCUAGGUAUUUAUUGUAAUACUCGUACGUUGAAAGUAACACACCUAAACUUUAGAGAACCAAAUGUAUUAAUUAUCAUAAGAAUCGUGUUUGUUAUUGCCAUUGAAAUAUAUCUAAUAACAAUGAAUUGUAAAAGUUUAGUAAAACCGGAAUAACUGUUAUAGUAAACUAGGUACUAUGUAUAAAAAAUAUGUAAACUGUUAAAAACUGCAACAAUAACAAUGGAGUAAAUAAAUUAAUAAUACGCUACUCUGAUAACGGAACAGUUAACCAUGCGUUGUAACGUAAGUGACUGUAACAAGUUUGCAAAGCUGUAUGUGUCCUACUGCUUCGAAAAAUCACAAUAGUGAUUAUGAUGUUGGUUCAUAGAUCUUCUAACCUUGUCUACGAGGUUUGUCAAGACUACAAAGUAGGACAAUGGGUAGCGUAUGUCCUAAUAUUUAAGAAAUGUUCGUCAUUCAUUUCCAAAAAAUAAAACUAAUAUAGGUUUUGGAUACAGUGCUCUAUCAUUUCUGUAAAUUAUUCUGUUUCGAGUCUUGUAUUGAAACUCAAGACAUUAUCUUGAGUUCAAACAAACAGAACAUUAUCUGACUUCGAACAAUCCUAUGAUUUCAAUAGAAAAGAAGAAACCGCAAUAAAAAGCAAAAAACCAAGGAAAUGCAAAUAAAAAGAAAAAAACUAAAAAAUUACACAAUUUAUUUUAAUCACAGAUGAUGCCUGCACGUAGCAGACUUGUCAUAUGACCACCGCAAAUUCUCUAGAUCAGCACAAGUAUAGUCAAAUUUUUUAAUGCAAUAUUAAAAUAACCAACACAGGUUCGGGCUUAAAAGUUACUGUGGACAUAACAA